rnacentral:rRNA from 1 species
CAGUAGCCACGGGAAUACAGAGGAUGCAAGCGUUAUCCGGAAUGAUUGGGCGUAAAGCGUCUGUAGGUGGCUUUUCAAGUCCGCCGUCAAAUCCCAGGGCUCAACCCGGGAACUGCUUUGGAAACUGUCGAUCUGGAGUGUUGGAGAGGUAAGUGGAAUUCCUGGUGUAGCGGUGAAAUGCGUAGAGAUCAGGAAGAACACCGGAGGCGAAGGCGGCUUACUGGACAAAGACUGACGUUGAGGCUCGAAAGCGUGGGAAGCAAACAGGAUUAGAUACCCCGGUAGUCCCUGUCUCUUAUAC